rnacentral:ncRNA from 1 species
UCGGGCUUCAUUGCAGCCGCCCGGUUUCCCAAGACGCUUUUGUCCAAGCGCUGC